rnacentral:lncRNA from 10 species
AUUUUUUUUAAACCAGAAAAGGAAAACCAGACCUGGAAUCUACAGCGAAAAAAGAACCUUGAAGUGACCAUUGUCCCUUCCAUUAAAGAAUCUGUUUAUGUGAAAUCCAGUCUUUUCAGUGUCUUCAUCUUCCUGUCCUUCUACUUGGGAUGCCUUCUUGUUGGGUUUGUUCAUUAUCUGAGGUUUCAGAGAAAAUCCAUUGAUGGAAGCUUUGGGUCCAAUGAUGGCUCUGGAAAUAUGGUGGCAUCUCAUCCCAUUGCUGCCAGCACACCCGAAGGGAGCAAUUAUGGGACAAUAGGUAUGUCCUACCAGGUCUGUUCAUGAAAGUGUUUCCUAAUUCUGCAGAGAAUAUGAUAGAAAGGCAUUCCAGCCACUAAUAACUGGGAAUGUGGGCAAAGCAGCUAUCCUAUGAGAUUGUCUUUUAUUUGUAAGAUGAGUUGCUUGGAGAUUUGGAAGCUUCCUCCCAGCUCUAACUUUCUCCAGUUCUGUUGUUCUGUUUCUUGGAUCUGCUAGCCCCACUUGGGCAGAAUUCCUUCAAUGUUUGCCAUCUAAUACUAAGGCCCCCUAGGGACUUUUUCAUAUCCAGCCCGGGUUUAGGGCAUGAAAGAUGUGUCCCAGGGAGCCUGACAUCAAUUGACCAGUUGUUUC